GAGGGUACAGCUCAGUGGUAGAGUGUAUGCUUAGCAUGCACAAGGUCCUGGGUUCAGUCCCCAGUACCUUCA
rnacentral:tRNA from 1 species